rnacentral:rRNA from 1 species
CGGCCAUAACAACCGGGCCUACCAUGCAGUCGAGCGGAUGAAGGGAGCUUGCUCCUGGAUUCAGCGGCGGACGGGUGAGUAAUGCCUAGGAAUCUGCCUGGUAGUGGGGGAUAACGUCCGGAAACGGGCGCUAAUACCGCAUACGUCCUGAGGGAGAAAGUGGGGGAUCUUCGGACCUCACGCUAUCAGAUGAGCCUAGGUCGGAUUAGCUAGUUGGUGGGGUAAAGGCCUACCAAGGCGACGAUCCGUAACUGGUCUGAGAGGAUGAUCAGUCACACUGGAACUGAGACACGGUCCAGACUCCUACGGGAGGCAGCAGUGGGGAAUAUUGGACAAUGGGCGAAAGCCUGAUCCAGCCAUGCCGCGUGUGUGAAGAAGGUCUUCGGAUUGUAAAGCACUUUAAGUUGGGAGGAAGGGCAGUAAGUUAAUACCUUGCUGUUUUGACGUUACCAACAGAAUAAGCACCGGCUAACUUCGUGCCAGCAGCCGCGGUAAUACGAAGGGUGCAAGCGUUAAUCGGAAUUACUGGGCGUAAAGCGCGCGUAGGUGGUUCAGCAAGUUGGAUGUGAAAUCCCCGGGCUCAACCUGGGAACUGCAUCCAAAACUACUGAGCUAGAGUACGGUAGAGGGUGGUGGAAUUUCCUGUGUAGCGGUGAAAUGCGUAAUAUAGAAGGAACACCGGUGGCGAAGGCGACCACCUGGACUGAUACUGACACUGAGGUGCGAAAGCGUGGGGGAGCAAACAGGAUGAGAUACCCUGGGUAGUCCACGCCGUAAACGAUGUCGACUACC